UACAGAGGUCCCAAGCGUUGUUCGGAUUCACUGGGCGUAAAGGGCGCGUAGGCGGCGCGGGAAGUCAUCGGUGAAAGUUCAGGGCUCAACUCUGAAUCGGCCGGUGAUACUCUCGUGCUCGAGCACUGUAGAGGCAGGUGGAAUUCCGGGUGUAGCGGUGGAAUGCGUAGAGAUCCGGAAGAACACCGGUGGCGAAGGCGGCCUGCUGGGCAGUAGCUGACGCUGAUGCGCGACAGCGUGGGGAGCAAACAGG
rnacentral:rRNA from 1 species